GAUGAGAACGUAGUAAAAUGCGAUAAGUAAUGUGAAUUGCAGAAUUCAGUGAAUCAUCGAAUCUUUGAACGCACAUUGCGCCCGCCAGUAUUCUGGCGGGCAUGCCUGUUCGAGCGUCAUUUCAACCCUCAAGCCCUCGGGUUUGGUGUUGGGGAUCGGCGAGCCUUUCUGGCAAGCCGGCCCCGAAAUCUAGUGGCGGUCUCGCUGCAGCCUCCAUUGCGUAGUAGUAAAACCCUCGCAACUGGAACGCGGCGCGGCCAAGCCGUUAAACCCCCAACUUCUGAAUGUUGACCUCGGAUCAGGUAGGAAUACCCGCUGAACUUAAGCAUAUCAAUAAGCGGAGGA
rnacentral:misc_RNA from 1 species